rnacentral:rRNA from 1 species
UUCCGGUUGAUCCCGCCGGACCCGACUGCUAUCAGAAUAGGACUAAGCCAUGCGAGUCAACGUAGCAAUACGUGGCAUACGGCUCAGUAACACGUAGUCAACAUGCCCAGGGGACGUGGAUAACCUCGGGAAACUGAGGAUAAACCGCGAUAGGCCAUGAUUUCUGGAAUGGUUCAUGGCCGAAAUCUAUAUGGCCCCUGGAUUGGACUGCGGCCGAUCAGGCUGUUGGUGAGGUAAUGGCCCACCAAACCUGUAACCGGUACGGGCUCUGAGAGGAGGAGCCCGGAGAUGGGCACUGAGACAAGGGCCCGGGCCCUAUGGGGCGCAGCAGGCGCGAAAUCUCUGCAAUAGGCGAAAGCUUGACAGGGUUACUCUGAGUGAUUCCCGCUAAGGGAAUCUUUUGGCAUCUCUAAAAAUGGUGCAGAAUAAGGGGUGGACAAGUCUGGUGUCAGCCGCCGCGGUAAUACCAGCACCCCGAGUGGUCGGGACGAUUAUUGGGCCUAAAGCAUCCGUAGCCGGUCCUGCAAGUCUUCCGUUAAAUCCAGCUGCUCAACAGAUGGGCUGCGGAGGAUACUACAGGGCUAGGAGGCGGGAGAGGCAAGCGGUACUUUAUGGGUAGGGGUAAAAUCCGUUGAUCCAUAGAAGACCACCAGUGGCGAAGGCGGCUUGCCAGAACGCGCUCGACGGUGAGGGAUGAAAGCUGGGGGAGCAAACCGGAUUAGAUACCCGGGUAGUCCCAGCUGUAAACGAUGCAGACUCGGUGAUGGGUUGGCCUUGUGCCAACCCAGUGCCGCAGGGAAGCCGUUAAGUCUGCCGCCUGGGGAGUACGGUCGCAAGACUGAAACUUAAAGGAAUUGGCGGGGGAGCACCACAAGGGGUGAAGCCUGCGGUUCAAUUGGAGUCAACGCCGA